GGUUAAGCGACUAAGCGUACACGGUGGAUGCCCUGGCAGUCAGAGGCGAUGAAGGACGUGCUAAUCUGCGAAAAGCGCCGGCGAGGUGAUAUGAACCUUUGACCCGGCGAUGUCCGAAUGGGGAAACCCAGUGCAAUUCGUUGCACUAUCGUUAACUGAAUACAUAGGUUAACGAGGCGAACCGGGGGAACUGAAACAUCUAAGUACCCCGAGGAAAAGAAAUCAACCGAGAUUCCCCCAGUAGCGGCGAGCGAACGGGGAGCAGCCCAGAGUCUGAAUCAGCUUGUGUGUUAGUGGAAGCGUCUGGAAAGUCGCACGGUACAGGGUGACAGUCCCGUACACGAAAAUGCACAGGUUGUGAACUCGAAGAGUAGGGCGGGACACGUGGUAUCCUGUCUGAAUAUGGGGGGACCAUCCUCCAAGGCUAAAUACUCCUGACUGACCGAUAGUGAACCAGUACCGUGAGGGAAAGGCGAAAAGAACCCCGGCGAGGGGAGUGAAACAGAACCUGAAACCGUGUACGUACAAGCAGUGGGAGCACCUUCGUGGUGUGACUGCGUACCUUUUGUAUAAUGGGUCAGCGACUUAUAUUCUGUAGCAAGGUUAACCGUAUAGGGGAGCCGAAGGGAAACCGAGUCUUAACUGGGCGUUAAGUUGCAGGGUAUAGACCCGAAACCCGGUGAUCUAGCCAUGGGCAGGUUGAAGGUUGGGUAACACUAACUGGAGGACCGAACCGACUAAUGUUGAAAAAUUAGCGGAUGACUUGUGGCUGGGGGUGAAAGGCCAAUCAAACCGGGAGAUAGCUGGUUCUCCCCGAAAGCUAUUUAGGUAGCGCCUCGUGAACUCAUCUUCGGGGGUAGAGCACUGUUUCGGCUAGGGGGCCAUCCCGGCUUACCAACCCGAUGCAAACUACGAAUACCGAAGAAUGUUAUCACGGGAGACACACGGCGGGUGCUAACGUCCGUCGUGAAGAGGGAAACAACCCAGACCGCCAGCUAAGGUCCCAAAGUCAUGGUUAAGUGGGAAACGAUGUGGGAAGGCACAGACAGCCAGGAUGUUGGCUUAGAAGCAGCCAUCAUUUAAAGAAAGCGUAAUAGCUCACUGGUCGAGUCGGCCUGCGCGGAAGAUGUAACGGGGCUAAACCAUGCACCGAAGCUGCGGCAGCGACACUAUGUGUUGUUGGGUAGGGGAGCGUUCUGUAAGCCGUUGAAGGUGGCCUGUGAGGGUUGCUGGAGGUAUCAGAAGUGCGAAUGCUGACAUAAGUAACGAUAAAGCGGGUGAAAAGCCCGCUCGCCGGAAGACCAAGGGUUCCUGUCCAACGUUAAUCGGGGCAGGGUGAGUCGACCCCUAAGGCGAGGCCGAAAGGCGUAGUCGAUGGGAAACAGGUUAAUAUUCCUGUACUUGGUGUUACUGCGAAGGGGGGACGGAGAAGGCUAUGUUAGCCGGGCGACGGUUGUCCCGGUUUAAGCAUGUAGGCGGAGGUUCCAGGUAAAUCCGGUACCUUUUAACGCUGAGGUGUGAUGACGAGGCACUACGGUGCUGAAGUAACAAAUGCCCUGCUUCCAGGAAAAGCCUCUAAGCAUCAGGUAACAUCAAAUCGUACCCCAAACCGACACAGGUGGUCAGGUAGAGAAUACCAAGGCGCUUGAGAGAACUCGGGUGAAGGAACUAGGCAAAAUGGUGCCGUAACUUCGGGAGAAGGCACGCUGAUAUGUAGGUGAAGCCCCUGCGGGUGGAGCUGAAAUCAGUCGAAGAUACCAGCUGGCUGCAACUGUUUAUUAAAAACACAGCACUGUGCAAACACGAAAGUGGACGUAUACGGUGUGACGCCUGCCCGGUGCCGGAAGGUUAAUUGAUGGGGUUAGCGGCAACGCGAAGCUCUUGAUCGAAGCCCCGGUAAACGGCGGCCGUAACUAUAACGGUCCUAAGGUAGCGAAAUUCCUUGUCGGGUAAGUUCCGACCUGCACGAAUGGCGUAAUGAUGGCCAGGCUGUCUCCACCCGAGACUCAGUGAAAUUGAACUCGCUGUGAAGAUGCAGUGUACCCGCGGCAAGACGGAAAGACCCCGUGAACCUUUACUAUAGCUUGACACUGAACACUGGUCCUUGAUGUGUAGGAUAGGUGGGAGGCUUUGAAGCGUGGACGCCAGUCUGCGUGGAGCCGUCCUUGAAAUACCACCCUUUAAUGGCUGGUGUUCUAACGUAGACCCGUAAUCCGGGUUGCGGACAGUGUCUGGUGGGUAGUUUGACUGGGGCGGUCUCCUCCCAAAGAGUAACGGAGGAGCACGAAGGUUAGCUAAUCCUGGUCGGACAUCAGGAGGUUAGUGCAAUGGCAUAAGCUAGCUUGACUGCGAGAGUGACGGCUCGAGCAGGUGCGAAAGCAGGUCAUAGUGAUCCGGUGGUUCUGAAUGGAAGGGCCAUCGCUCAACGGAUAAAAGGUACUCCGGGGAUAACAGGCUGAUACCGCCCAAGAGUUCAUAUCGACGGCGGUGUUUGGCACCUCGAUGUCGGCUCAUCACAUCCUGGGGCUGAAGUAGGUCCCAAGGGUAUGGCUGUUCGCCAUUUAAAGUGGUACGCGAGCUGGGUUUAGAACGUCGUGAGACAGUUCGGUCCCUAUCUGCCGUGGGCGCUGGAGAAUUGAGGGGGGCUGCUCCUAGUACGAGAGGACCGGAGUGGACGCAUCACUGGUGUUCGGGUUGUCAUGCCAAUGGCACUGCCCGGUAGCUAAAUGCGGAAAAGAUAAGUGCUGAAAGCAUCUAAGCACGAAACUUGCCCCGAGAUGAGUUCUCCCUGAGACUUUAAGUCUCCUGAAGGAACGUUGAAGACGACGACGUUGAUAGGUCGGGUGUGUAAGCGCAGCGAUGCGUUGAGCUAACCGAUACUAAUGAACCGUGAGGCUUAACCUU
rnacentral:rRNA from 1 species